UGUGUCCUUAUUACGUGCCAGAACUUUAUUUACAGUUAAAGAAACAGGCCAAACAGGGAAGGGUUAAGCCCAGAGUCGCACAGAGGGGAAGGGUGGGAUUUGAACUCCCUUUUGGAGGAAUUAGGCGUUGUCACUGGACUCGCUGUGUGUGGGACCUUGGCCAGAUGACAGCGCUUCCCCGAGCCUCGGUUUGCUGGCAUUUUGUUGUCUGUUGCUCAGAGGCUCGGUGGCAAAUUGUUUGCACGUUUCGAUUGGGAGUGAUUCCUCAUUCCGGCAGCAGAGGGAGGCCUGGUUCCUCGCGCUGUCAACAUUCAGGAUGCCACCUGUUAGCUGAUGGACCCAGGACAGAACCGCACGGUGCGCAGGGUGUGUAUGGCUGGGGAAGCGACCAAGGGCUGUGGAACCCUCGCCGCGCCAAUUCAGCACUGCCCGACCUCACAGGACGCGACCGCCAGGACCCACAGGGACCGCCGUCCCCACCACCGCCCCACUCACCCAGGCCGCCAUCUGCAGCUCUCCGCCGAGGGUGACCGGAGUAGGAGUAAUAGUGGGACCCGCCUUUGACGACCGAGGGCGACAGUGGCCCCGGGCUGCUGAGGGCCAGCUCGCUGGGCAGGAAGCUGGCCUGAGGGAGGGGGAGGGUUAGCAGCCGGUCCCCUGCCCAGCCCCCAGGCCAUUCUGGUUUAAAACAACAAAGGCAAGAGCAAGGGCCCAGGCCAAUGGCAGGGUCCUGGGGUGACAGUGACCUGGGGCAUAGGUCCCUCCCUGCUGACACCGCUGGUGUUUCUCUUAUCUAAGAUACCACCGAUUCAUUUUCAUGAAGGAAAAAGAUGAGGAGAGAAACACCGUCAAGCCUGAAGAUGUGUUGCUGUCUGGGCGCGAAACGGGCACAACUAUGCUUCAGGUGUCAAGGGAAUCUGUGUGUUUUACUUCGUACGUAUCCCCCCCCGCCUUUUUUUUUAAGGUAAACGGUUUAAUCUCGCA